CACUGGUGGAGACAACACAGGAAUCUUCAGUUGGGUGUGCACCAUUGGGAGCAAUCAGUGACCACUCUGCACCCCGUUUCUGCAGCCUGUUGCUGGACUGUCUGCGACUCCUGCUGAUGGACUGGCAGACAGCACCGCUGAGAUGAAGCUGUGUCUAGUGGCUGCAGUGCUCCUG
rnacentral:other from 1 species